rnacentral:rRNA from 1 species
UACGUAGGUGGCGAGCGUUGUCCGGAUUUACUGGGCGUAAAGCGCGCGCAGGCGGUUCGUUAAGUCCGGUGUGAAAGCUCCCGGCUCAACUGGGAGAGGUCAUUGGAUACUGGCGGACUUGAGGGAUGCAGAGGAAGGUGGAAUUCCCGGUGUAGUGGUGAAAUGCGUAGAGAUCGGGAGGAACAUCAGUUGCGAAGGCGGCUCUCUGGACCAGCACUGACACUGAGGCACGAAAGCGUGGGGAGCAAACAGG